AAACUAGGAUUAGAUACCCUAGUAUUUUAGGGUUAUUAUUAAGUAGUAGAUAAUUUUUAUUAAACUUAAUUUUUCUGGCGGUUUAUUACCCAUUCACAGGAAUUUGUUAAUUUUAAAAGAUAACCCGCCUUUAUUAUAACCAAUCUAAAUUUUAUGUACGGCUGUUAGGCUUUAAUUUAAUUAUUUUUGCUUUAAGAUUUAAUCCCUUAAUUCAGGUCUAUGUGUAGAAGAUAAAUUGGUUUUUAAUGAGUUACUAUAAUAGGGGAAUUUUUUUAUAUAAAUAAUUUAAUUUGGAUGUGAAAGUAAAAUAGAUAUUAAAAUUUCUAUUUGAAGAAGGACCCUAAUAAAAGUACAUAUCGCCCGUCACUCUUUUGAUAGAUAAGUCGUAACAUAGUA
rnacentral:rRNA from 1 species